UUUGUAUGUUACUCCAUUCCAAGUAGUUGCAGUCCUUAUGGACCUUUACUGGUUGCGCCAUCCACUAUUCAGGAGCAAGCUGUCGCCAGUACCUGUGAACUUCUUCAAGAGAUUACAAACCAAGUCUCAUAUGCUUUUGUGAGGAAGAAAUUGAACUGCCAACGGUCGGAGUAGUUGGUGAAACUUGAAAAGACUCCUUUCAGCCCUUGUUGAUCACUAAGUCCAUCACCAACAACCUAUGUUGAGUCAAAAGACUCUUGCUAGCCUUCUUUAAUUCCGGACUCUACAUUGAGGGAUCAGUGUAUGCCAGACAAAUGAGAGUCCAAGGAAAAUUGCUGUUCUAAUUUACUGUAACGGUUACUCUCUACAUUGGAUUCGGGGCGAUGGCGACCAUUAUUGAUGAAAAUCUUUAGGAUGAUUGAGUCACAACCAAUAAUUGUACGAGGAACUAUCCUAUUUUUGCCACAUGCAAAAGUGGAUCCCAUUUGCAUACUUUACCUCCCACUCACCACCCACAUCCGGUCAACCCCGCUUCUUUUUCAUUUUCUUAUUUCUUCAAUUCCCAACCCAAUAUUCAACUCACAAAUACAAUUAAAAAUUUAAAACUUAGCUCGAUUUUUCCUUCAAUUUACGGUACAAAUACUUCUAUUAAAAAAUAAAAUAAAAACAGAAAAAAGAUUUUUUUUUUUAAAAGAAGCUCUAGUUUUUCUUAUUCCUAUCUAUGAGUUUGCUUGUUAAUUUUGGAUCUACACCUCAUUUUUUUUUAGUAAUAAUAGAUUAUAAAUUUUUUUAAAAACUAUUAAAUACUAUUUGUAAAUAAAAUAAAUUUUUUAUAUAAAAAAAAUUAAAAAAAUUUAGAAGGAGUUUGGUAUAGCUAGUAUGUCUCAAGAAACUAAUGCAUUGAUUAUAUUAUUAAUUAAAAAAUAAUUAUCAGAAAAAAGCGAUUAUAUAAUUUAAAAAGUAAACUUUAUAAACAUAAUUAAUUUUUCUUAAAAGUUUAAUGCCUCCAUUCGAUUUUGGCCUUAGGCCACGAAUUCGCUUGAGCCGCCCCUGUGAUCAGGUUAUUAAUUAUUACAUGUUAUUUAAAUAAAUGAUUUAUAUUUAUUAAAAAUAAUCUUAUCUGAUUAUUUUACAUGUUGAAGUUAAUAGAAACACACUAAUUGAAGAUUUUUGAUUGGCGUUUCAGUUAUUUUAAUAGAUAAGAUGUUAUCUACAUUUUUUUAUCAAAUACAUAAACUGCUUAUUUUCAGCUUCAACAUUUUUUUUAUUUUUUUAAUUAUAAAUUCAGCUCCAAUAUCUACAAAGUAUUUUCAAGCACGUGCACCUAAAAAUUAUUUAAAUUAGUCUCAAUCAACCAUAUUUAAUUCUACUAUUGCUUUUUUAACAUUCAGCGACGGAUACAUAUUUCCAAAAAUUUAAUUAAAAAAUGUUCAAAAUUAAAUAAAUUUUCUUCUGAUUUGCCGCAUCAACCUUGUUUAUUUCCUUUGUAUGCAAUUGCAUGCUCUACUCUUUGGUUUGCUGUGGUUUUUAAUUUAACUUUUCUUUGGUUACCAAAAGAAUAAUUACUCUCUCCAUUUUAAAAAGAAUAAUCUAUUUUUUUUAGUCUGUUUCAAAAAGACUAAC